ACGGGUGAGUAACGCGUGGGAACAUACCCUUUUCUACGGAAUAGCUCUGGGAAACUGGAAUUAAUACCGUAUACGCCCUACGGGGGAAAGAUUUAUCGGGGAAGGAUUGGCCCGCGUUGGAUUAGCUAGUUGGUGGGGUAAAGGCCUACCAAGGCGACGAUCCAUAGCUGGUCUGAGAGGAUGAUCAGCCACAUUGGGACUGAGACACGGCCCAAACUCCUACGGGAGGCAGCAGUGGGGAAUAUUGGACAAUGGGCGCAAGCCUGAUCCAGCCAUGCCGCGUGAGUGAUAAAGGCCUUAGGGUUGUAAAGCUCUUUCACCGAUGAAGAUAAUGACGGUAGUCGGAGAAGAAGCCCCGGCUAACUUCGUGCCAGCAGCCGCGGUAAUACGAAGGGGGCUAGCGUUGUUCGGAAUUACUGGGCGUAAAGCGCACGUAGGCGGAUAUUUAAGUCAGGGGUGAAAUCCCAGAGCUCAACUCUGGAACUGCCUUUGAUACUGGGUAUCUUGAGUAUGGAAGAGGUAAGUGGAAUUGCGAGUGUAGAGGUGAAAUUCGUAGA
rnacentral:rRNA from 1 species